rnacentral:rRNA from 1 species
UACGUAGGGUGCGAGCGUUAAUCGGAAUUACUGGGCGUAAAGGGCGCGUAGGCGGCCUUCUAAGUCGAACGUGAAAUCCCUGGGCUCAACCCAGGAACUGCGUCCGAUACUGGCAGGCUUGAAUCCGGGAGAGGGAUGCGGAAUUCCAGGUGUAGCGGUGAAAUGACGUAGAUAUCUGGAGGAACACCGGUGGCGAAGGCGGCAUCCGUGGACCGGCAGUUGACGCUGAGGCGCGAAAGUGUGGGGAG